AACAAAGAGGUGAAAGUGAACUGUAACCUAGAAAGCACCUGCAGAACGCCCUCCUUCGCCACGCCCCUUACGUAUUAAAUGUCCGCCACCUGCCACAGCUUUCCAAACUUUCCGUUAAAAGACAGAACGGCAUUUUAGUCAGCCUUCAAUUUAUUUAACUGCUCAAAACUAACACAAAACACGUCGCUCUAUUAAUUUUACUAUCCCAAAUUGGCCUCCCUUCUAUUUUGGAAGGGGUGGGGGCUGUCGUUAGCUUUAUGCACCCUAUGUGUGUCUAGUCAGCUAACGGAGAAAAACAUAAAGUGCAAACCCACCACUGACUGCACAUAAUUCACCGUUAACAAGACGAGUGUCCGUUUAUAGUCAAACAGACGUUGGCUGCGAGCGGCGGCAAGCACGAGCCUGUCGUGACAGCCACUGAUGCUAGCUGUGUAGCGAGAUAGCAGGAUCAGGAAGCUAACUGGUCUCUACAACAACCGCCAUUUUGUACCUUUUGCAUUUGACAUCGCCAUAACAACGGCCUGCUUGGGUAUGCAUCUAUGGCUGCGUCGUCAUGGCAGGCGAAAUUCAGAGUCACACGGAUGAGCAGCAAGCAGGCACAAACUAUCGCACACUAGAAAGCCCGACCGGUUAUCAGAAUGACGGCUAGCUUGCAGGCUAACCCCCAGCUAACACUGGGAGGCAGUUGCCUGUUAUGGCUACUGAAACAACAAGGGGGAAAAAGCAAUAGCACAAUUCAGCUGAAGCGUUAGAGGACAUAAAAUGCUACAGAUCAUGUUAAGAGCUUCACCUCUGGUUCCACGGCUACCGUGGCUAUGGCGCUUCGUCCUCACCAGGGCAACUGUUGCUACCCACCCGCUCCCUUCCCUCCUCCUUUGCUGUUGUGAUUGGCUGAGAGCUGCCAAAUUGUCUUAAAGUGACAGCGCCAGGGAAAUUUUACUACAAAGCCUUCCACGCCCAUUUGUGGAAAAUCCCAGAGGUGGAGGCUCCCAGUAAAAUCCCAGUGAAAGUAAUAGAAUUGUUUUUAGUUUGUUUUUAAAUUGAAAUAAAAUCAAUGCACA
rnacentral:lncRNA from 1 species